rnacentral:rRNA from 1 species
GGCCCACCAAGGCGACGAUUGGUAGCCGGACUGAGAGGUUGAACGGCCACAUUGGGACUGAGACACGGCCCAGACUCCUACGGGAGGCAGCAGUGGGGGAUAUUGCACAAUGGGGGAAACCCUGAUGCAGCGACGCCGCGUGGAGGAAGAAGGUUUUCGGAUUGUAAACUCCUGUCGUUAGGGACGAUAAUGACGGUACCUAACAAGAAAGCACCGGCUAACUACGUGCCAGCAGCCGCGGUAAAACGUAGGGUGCAAGCGUUGUCCGGAAUUACUGGGUGUAAAGGGAGCGCAGGCGGACCGGCAAGUUGGAAGUGAAAACUAUGGGCUCAACCCAUAAAUUGCUUUCAAAACUGCUGGCCUUGAGUAGUGCAGAGGUAGGUGGAAUUCCCGGUGUAGCGGUGGAAUGCGUAGAUAUCGGGAGGAACACCAGUGGCGAAGGCGACCUACUGGGCACCAACUGACGCUGAGGCUCGAAAGCAUGGGUAGCAAACAGGAUUAGAUACCCUGGUAGUCCAUGCCGUAAACGAUGAUUACUAGGUGUUGGAGGAUUGACCCCUUCAGUGCCGCAGUUAACACAAUAAGUAAUCCACCUGGGGAGUACGACCGCAAGGUUGAAACUCAAAGGAAUUGACGGGGGCCCGCACAAGCAGUGGAGUAUGUGGUUUAAUUCGAAGCAACGCGAAGAACCUUACCAGGUCUUGACAUCCGAUGCAUAGUGCAGAGAUGCAUGAAGUCCUUCGGGACAUCGAGACAGGUGGUGCAUGGUUGUCGUCAGCUCGUGUCGUGAGAUGUUGGGUUAAGUCCCGCAACGAGCGCAACCCUUAUUGCCAGUUACUACGUAAGAGGACUCUGGCGAGACUGCCGUUGACAAAACGGAGGAAGGUGGGGAUGACGUCAAAUCAUCAUGCCCUUUAUGACCUGGGCUACACACGUACUACAAUGGCGUUUAACAAAGAGAAGCAAGACCGCGAGGUGGAGCAAAACUCAAAAACAACGUCUCAGUUCAGAUUGCAGGCUGCAACUCGCCUGCAUGAAGUCGGAAUUGCUAGUAAUCGCGGAUCAGCAUGCCGCGGUGAAUACGUUCCCGGGCCUUGUACACACCGCCCGUCACACCAUGAGAGCCGGGGGGACCCGAAGUCGGUAGUCUAACCGUAAGGAGGACGCCGCCGAAGGUAAAACUGGUGAUUGGGGUGAAGUCGUAACAAGGUAGCCGUA